UACGUAGGGCGCAAGCGUUGUCCGGAAUUAUUGGGCGUAAAGGGCUCGUAGGCGGUUUGUCGCGUCGGGAGUGAAAACACCGGGCUUAACUCGGUGCUUGCUUUCGAUACGGGCAGACUAGAGGUAUGCAGGGGAGAACGGAAUUCCUGGUGUAGCGGUGAAAUGCGCAGGUAUACUCAGGAGGAACACCGGUGGCGAAGGCGGUUCUCUGGGCAUUACCUGACGCUGAGGAGCGAAAGUGUGGGGAGCGAACAGG
rnacentral:rRNA from 1 species